GAUGAACGCUGGCGGCGUGCCUAACACAUGCAAGUCGGACGGGAGUGGACGCAAGUUUGCUCCAGUGGCGCACGGGUGAGUAACACGUAGCUGACCUGUCCUGGAGCGGGGGAUAACGCCGCGAAAGCGGCGCUAAGCCCGCCUAAGCUCACGGUCUUUAGAGGACUGGGAGAAAAACCGAAAGGUACUUCAGGAGGGGGCUGCGGCCCAUCAGGUAGUUGGUGGGGUAAGAGCCUACCAAGCCGACGACGGGUAGGGGGUCUGAGAGGGUGGUCCCCCACACUGGGACUGAGACACGGCCCACGACUCCUACGGGAGGCAGCAGUGAGGAAUAUUGGUCAAUGGCCGCAAGGCUGAACCAGCGACGCCGCGUGGGCGAUGAAGGCC
rnacentral:rRNA from 1 species